UAGCCUGAAAGAGGAAAAGAACACAUAGCCCAGCGUGUAGCGACCAAGUCCAUGGCCCUCUCGAGCUCGCUCCAUGCCCUGGUCCUAGUCUCCCCUCCCUUCCCCUCCGCUCGCCCAAGUAGAGUCGCGGCCCCGGCAUCCCGCGCGCUGGGUCGGCGUCGGAGGGGGCGAGGGUCGUGGCGCUGCCGUCGGACGCGUAGUGGCUGGAGGAGCUGCCGGAGAAGAAGAAGUCGCUAUACACGCACAGCCUACCGUGCAUCGAGGCGUGGCUGCGCAGCAUCGGGUUCACGCAGUCCCGCGAGGACCCUGCCGUCUGGGUGGCCGAGAUGCCGCUCUAACAUGCGCGCCUCUGCCUCGACGUCACCGACCUCCACAUCAGGUACUUGAAAACCAGCCCUGGAAAUCUUGAGAAGGAUGUGGAGAGAAGAUUCAGCUAUGCCCUAAGCAGAGAAGACAUUGAAUUGAGAACACAAUUCUUGGAGGACCUUAAUCCAAUCACGGGGCCCAAGUUAGGAUUCGUUUAAUCAUGUUUGCCCUUGAGACGAGGUUAACACUGGAGAAGUUGUACAGCGUCCAUCAUUAAAGGGAUUUGCAUACUUCUCUUCCAUGAUUGUAAGAGCAAACGGAUCAUGUGCCGAAAAUUCAUAAGUUAUAAUUUGCAAUAUCAAUGGCUCAGACGACACUAGAAA